rnacentral:rRNA from 1 species
GACGAACGCUGGCGGCGUGCCUAAUACAUGCAAGUCGAACGCAGUGGGGACGGGUGAGUAACACGUGGGUAACCUCCCAUCAGAGGGGAUAAAACUUGGAAACAGGUGCUAAACCGAUACUGAUGGAUGGUGCAGGGGUGGAUUAGCUAGUUGGUGAGGUAAAGGCUCACCAAGGCCACGAUGCAUAGCCGACCUGAGAGGGUGAUCGGCCACACUGGGACUGAGACACGGCCCAGACUCCUACGGGAGGCAGCAGUAGGGAAUCUUCGGCAAUGGGCGCAAGUCUGACCGAGCAACGCCGCGUGAGUGAAGAAGGUUUUCGGAUCGUAAAACUCUGUUGUUAGAGAAGCGGUAUCUAACCAGAAAGCCAUGGCUAACUACGUGCCAGCAGCCGCGGUAAUUC